GACGAACGCUGGCGGCGUGCUUAACACAUGCAAGUGGAGCGAUGAAGCUCCUUCGGGCGUGGAUUAGCGGCGGACGGGUGAGUAACACGUGGGUAACCUGCCUCCUAGAGGGGAAUAGCCUUUCGAAAGGAAGAGUAAUACCGCAUAAGCUUGUAGCUUCGCAUGGAGCAGCAAAUAAAGGAGUAAUUCGCUAUGAGAUGGACCCGCGUGAGAUUAGGUAGUUGGUGGGGUAAUGGCCUACCAAGACGACGAUCUAUAGGGGGUCUGAGAGGAUGAUCCCCCACACUGGAACUGAGACACGGUCCAGACUCCUACGGGAGGCAGCAGUAAGGAAUAUUGGACAAUGGGCGAAAGCCUGAUCCAGCCAUGCCGCGUGAGUGAUGAAGGCCUUAGGGUUGUAAAGCUCUGUCUUCAGGGACGAUAACGACGGUACCUGAGGAGGAAGCCACGGCUAACUACGUGCCAGCAGCCGCCGCCGUAA
rnacentral:rRNA from 1 species